rnacentral:tRNA from 1 species
GCCCAGAUAGCUCAGUCGGUAGAGCAGAGGACUGAAAAUCCUCGUGGCGCUGGUUCGAUUCCGGCUCUGGGCA